rnacentral:sRNA from 1 species
GUCUCCCGAGAACCUCACCGCCCGGUAUUCCCUUCACCCUGAAGUAAGGGUGUCUCCCUCUUCCCCUCAGCUCCCAAACAAGGUGCUCAGUACCGCUGCUACGGUGCCCAGCGGGAGGCUGGGUAGCUACCGGAGGAGGCAGAGCCGGUCGCACGCCUGGGUCCCAGCGAGGCCCAGUCGACUCUCGACCCGCGCCCCAGCCUCCUUGCGUGGCGAAGGUCGUGCCUCAGGUCUCCUGGCGAACCUGGCCGCCCGGAAGCGGAGCGUGACUCCUCCCCUUCGUCCCCUCGGUGCCCGCCAGGCGGCGCCGUCGGCUGGGCCCGGAUUCCCCUGCGGCUUCGAUCCCUUUCCACUGGGUAUUGAGAUUGGCGAGGGGAGACGCGCAGAAACGGCCUGUAAGAGAGCCUGACCACCAAUUGGAAUAAGUUUCCCUCGUGACUGUGUUUUUUCAGCAUUAGCAUUUCUUGCCUGUACAUGUGAACGUUGUGCUCUACCCCUCGAAGAUCCUGAUUCAGUAGAUCUGGGGUGGGGCCUCAUGGAACGGCGUCUCCCUCUGUUGUCCAGGCUGGAGCGCAGUGGUGCAAUCUCGGCUCCCUGCAACCUCCGCCUCCCCGAUUCAAGCGAUUCUCCUGCGUCAGCCUCCCCAGUAGCUGAGACUACAGGUGCCCGCCACCCAUUUUUGUGUUUUUAGUAGGGACGGGGUUUCACCAUGUUGGCCAAGCUAGUGUUGAACUCCUCACCUCAGGUGAUCCGCCCGCCUCGGCCUCCCAAAGUGCUGGGAUUACAGGCGUGAGCUACCACGCCCAGCCUGGAAAUAGAAGGAGAGUAAUGUUGCGAGGGGUUGGCUGUGGGAUGGUUUAUCUCCAGGAAGGUUUCCGGGAGGAAGUGAUUCUAGCUGGGCUUGUGUUCAGGGACCAGAAUAUCCACUGGUUCUUUGCCCCACAGUAAUGAAUUUACUUCCCCACCCCUAUCAGGAUGCAGAAAGCCUCAGUGUUGCUCUUCCUGGCCUGGGUCUGCUUCCUCUUCUACGCUGGCAUUGCCCUCUUCACCAGUGGCUUCCUGCUCACCCGUUUGGAGCUCACCAACCAUAGCAGCUGCCAAGAGCCCCCAGGCCCUGGGUCCCUGCCAUGGGGGAGCCAAGGAAAACCUGGGGCCUGCUGGAUGGCUUCCCGAUUUUCGCGGGUUGUGUUGGUGCUGAUAGAUGCUCUGCGAUUUGACUUCGCCCAGCCCCAGCACUCCCACGUGCCUGGAGAGCCUCCUGUCUCCCUACCCUUCCUGGGCAAACUAAGCUCCUUGCAGAGGAUCCUGGAGAUUCAGCCCCACCAUGCCCGGCUCUACCGAUCUCAGGUUGACCCUCCUACCACUACCAUGCAGCGCCUCAAGGCCCUCACCACUGGCUCACUGCCUACCUUUAUUGAUGCUGGUAGUAACUUCGCCAGCCACGCCAUAGUGGAAGACAAUCUCAUUAAGCAGCUCACCAGUGCAGGAAGGCGUGUAGUCUUCAUGGGAGAUGAUACCUGGAAAGACCUUUUCCCUGGUGCUUUCUCCAAAGCUUUCUUCUUCCCAUCCUUCAAUGUCAGAGACCUAGACACAGUGGACAAUGGCAUCCUGGAACACCUCUACCCCACCAUGGACAGUGGUGAAUGGGACGUGCUGAUUGCUCACUUCCUGGGUGUGGACCACUGUGGCCACAAGCAUGGCCCUCACCACCCUGAAAUGGCCAAGAAACUUAGCCAGAUGGACCAGGUGAUCCAGGGACUUGUGGAGCGUCUGGAGAAUGACACACUGCUGGUAGUGGCUGGGGACCAUGGGAUGACCACAAAUGGAGACCAUGGAGGGGACAGUGAGCUGGAGGUCUCAGCUGCUCUCUUUCUGUAUAGCCCCACAGCACUCUUCCCCAGCACCCCACCAGAGGUGAGGCCUGGGAUGUUCCUCAUCUGUUCUCCCAGUAAUCAGCCCAUGUUACCAUCACAGCAUCCUCAUGAAUACCUCUAUUUUAGGCCCCCAAAUCCAUGAUCCUGGGUAUCCCCCACUCUCAUUUCUUACCUAGGCCCCUAUGUCUGCCAUCCCAAAUAUUGACUUCAGCUUUGUGAUGAAUCUAUUGACCACUGUCAUUUCCCUUUAGGAGCCAGAGGUGAUUCCUCAAGUUAGCCUUGUGCCCACGCUGGCCCUGCUGCUGGGCCUGCCCAUCCCAUUUGGGAAUAUCGGGGAAGUGAUGGCUGAGCUAUUCUCAGGGGGUGAGGACUCCCAGCCCCACUCCUCUGCUUUAGCCCAAGCCUCAGCUCUCCAUCUCAAUGCUCAGCAGGUAGGUAAGCGGGCUGGGUUUCCAGGUGACAGAGCUAGAGUGGGCGUGAAAGAAGCAUAAUGAACCACUCUAUUGUCCUUUGACUAGUCUUAGUCCCACCUUCCAUACCUAUCCCUCUUCCGUUAUCCCUCCCUUCCCUGAUCCCGGACAGAGUUUGGGUCCUUGACUUCCAGGUACCCCCUUUUGUAAUACCUAUUUUUGUCUCUGCCCCAAUUUAUGUCUCUGACCUGUUCCCCUUGGCCUCUGACCUUUUCUCUGCCAGGUGUCCCGAUUUCUUCAUACCUACUCAGCUGCUACUCAGGACCUUCAAGCUAAGGAGCUUCAUCAGCUGCAGAACCUCUUCUCCAAGGCCUCUGCUGACUACCAGUGGCUUCUCCAGAGCCCCAGGGGGGCGGAGGCGACACUGCCGACUGUGAUUGCUGAGCUGCAGCAGUUCCUGCGGGGAGCUCGGGCCAUGUGCAUCGAGUCUUGGGCUCGUUUCUCUCUGGUCCGCAUGGCGGGGGGUACUGCUCUCUUGGCUGCUUCCUGCUUUAUCUGCCUGCUGGCAUCUCAGUGGGCAAUAUCCCCAGGCUUUCCAUUUCGCCCUCUACUGAUACCUGUGGCCUGGGGCCUGGUUGGCGCCAUAGCUUAUGCUGGACUCCUGGGAACUAUUGAGCUGAAGCUAGAUCUAGUGCUUCUAGGGGCUGUGGCUGCAGUGAGUUCAUUCCUGCCUUUUCUGUGGAAAGCCUGGGCUGGCUGGGGGUCCAAGAGGCCCCUGGCAACCCUGUUUCCCAUCCCUGGGCCCGUCCUGUUACUCCUGCUGUUUCGCUUGGCUGUGUUCUUCUCUGAUAGUUUUGUUGUAGCUGAGGCCAGGGCCACCCCCUUCCUUUUGGGCUCAUUCAUCCUGCUCCUGGUUGUCCAGCUUCACUGGGAGGGCCAGCUGCUUCCACCUAAGCUGCUCACAAUGCCCCGCCUUGGCACUUCAGCCACAACAAACCCCCCACGGCACAAUGGUGCAUAUGCCCUGAGGCUUGGAAUUGGGUUGCUUUUAUGUACGAGGCUAGCUGGGCUUUUUCAUCGUUGCCCUGAAGAGACACCUGUUUGCCAGUCCUCUCCCUGGCUGAGUCCUCUGGCAUCCAUGGUGGGUGGUCGAGCCAAGAAUUUGUGGUAUGGAGCUUGUGUGGCGGCGCUGGUGGCCCUGUUAGCUGCUGUGCGCUUGUGGCUUCGCCGCUAUGGUAAUCUCAAGAGCCCUGAGCCACCCAUGCUCUUUGUGCGCUGGGGACUGCCCCUAAUGGCAUUGGGUACUGCUGCCUACUGGGCAUUGGCAUCGGGGGCAGAUGAGGCUCCCCCCCGUCUCCGGGUCCUGGUCUCUGGGGCAUCCAUGGUGCUGCCUCGGGCUGUAGCAGGGCUGGCUGCUUCAGGGCUCGCACUGCUGCUCUGGAAGCCUGUGACGGUGCUGGUGAAGGCUGGGGCAGGCGCUCCAAGGACCAGGACUGUCCUCACUCCCUUCUCAGGCCCCCCCACUUCUCAAGCUGACCUGGAUUAUGUGGUCCCUCAAAUCUACCGACACAUGCAGGAGGAGUUCCGGGGCCGGUUAGAGAGGACCAAAUCUCAGGGUCCCCUGACUGUGGCUGCUUAUCAGUUGGGGAGUGUCUACUCAGCUGCUAUGGUCACAGCCCUCACCCUGUUGGCCUUCCCACUUCUGCUGUUGCAUGCGGAGCGCAUCAGCCUUGUGUUCCUGCUUCUGUUUCUGCAGAGCUUCCUUCUCCUACAUCUGCUUGCUGCUGGGAUACCCAUCACCACCCCUGGUAAAUAUCUCAGCUCUGAUUCACAUAAAGACAAUAGUGAUGUGAAUUUGGCCCCUCUUGUUUUCAAGGAGGUGUUGCUCCUCAUGUUCCUGAGCUUGACAGAGGGUCCCAUGCUCCACACAACUAGGAAGGUCUUCUUGGUGUCCUCUCUCUUAUCUGCCAUAGCCAAGCAAAUUGGUCCCUCCCAUUGGGUCCCAGGGUUCAUGGAGAGGGGAGACAAGGAGUCCUCUAAGACUCCUUGUGGAAAUGCUGCAUCCUCAUGAGCACAUUUCUUGAUUUUCCAGUGAUGGAAGUAGUAAAUUGUGAAUAUAUAAUGGUACUGAGCUGUAUGUGUUUGAGAGAAAGAAAGAGAUUGGCCACAGCAGGAUUCAAAUAAGCCUGAUGGCGCUUUUGUACCACAGAGAGAAUUAGAAUAACAGAAUGUUGACUGUAAGGAGGUUGGGCUGAUGGGCAUGUGAGUGUGUAUGAGAAUUGAUUCUGAAGUAGUAGGAGUAUAUGAUUGUGGAGCAGUAGCCUAUGGAUUAGGGAAUAAGAAGUGACUGUAAAGUGGCAUAUCUUUUCUUCCAGGUCCUUUUACUGUGCCAUGGCAGGCAGUCUCGGCUUGGGCCCUCAUGGCCACACAGACCUUCUACUCCACAGGCCACCAGCCUGUCUUUCCAGCCAUCCAUUGGCAUGCAGCCUUCGUGGGAUUCCCAGAGGGUCAUGGCUCCCGUACUUGGCUGCCUGCUUUGCUAGUGGGAGCCAACACCUUUGCCUCCCACCUCCUCUUUGCAGGUACUCCCUCCUCCUUCACUUGCUUCCAUUGUUUACUCUGGCUUUGUGGAAAGAAAGGAAACCCCUGGAUUUGAAUGGAGAGAUGUGGGUUUGUUGGAUCUUUGGCACCUCUUGGCCUAGGCUAAUUGGAACCUGAGCUAGCCAGGGUGGCCUACUGAUUCCAGCCAUACCCUCUCCCGAGGCAGUAGGUUGCCCACUGCUCCUGCUCUGGCCUUUCCUGUGUGAGAGUCAAGGGCUGCGGAAGAGACAGCAGCCCCCAGGGAAUGAAGCUGAUUCCAGAGUCAGACCCGAGGAGGAAGAGGAGCCACUGAUGGAGAUGCGGCUCCGGGAUGGGCCUCACCACUUCUAUGCAGCACUGCUGCAGCUGGGCCUCAAGUACCUCUUUAUCCUUGGUAUUCAGGUGGGUGUAGGAGAGAGAUCAGGGAGUUGGUGUUUUUUCUUCGUGUGUGCAUCACUUUCUUUCAGACCUUCAAAACCGCGGGAGAGAGCCUUGACUGAAGUUCACAUAAGUGAAGUGGUUGCCCAAGCCCAGUGGCCUCAAAUGGCAGCUCUGAGACUUGAACCUGGGUCUCCUUAAUCCUGGAUCAUUUCCCCUCUACAAGCUAGAUCUGGACCCUGCUAGUUGCAUUUGAGGAUUACUCUAUCAGUGGACAGACUGGAAAAACUGAGUUGAUAGCCAGGAUUUUCUUCCCAAACUGUGGUCAUGGAUCCUCUUCCUUUCCUCCAGAGGCAGAUGUGGCACUGAUAUCUUCCUCCAUCCUGGGGGCAGAGCCUGAGUGUUAGCAUUGCAGAUGGAUAAUGACUUGCCCCAAGUCACAUAGUGAGUCUGCUUGGGGCAGGACAGGAAGUAGGUCUCCUAACUCCUAGCCCAGGACAUGCAAUAUUUUUUCCACCGACAUGCACUAUUCUGCUUCCAUUUUUUACAGGGGCCUAUAGAAACUCUCCCUUUGCCCUGCUUCCUCCUCUCCUUCACAAGUAACGUGGCCCCUCCUCUCCUCCUCUAGAUUCUGGCCUGUGCCUUGGCAGCCUCCAUCCUUCGCAGGCAUCUCAUGGUCUGGAAAGUGUUUGCCCCUAAGUGAGUAGAUUUGCUUGAGAAGUAGAGGUGGUGGGGAGGGAGAAACUUGGAACAAAGUAUGAAGAUCCUAAACAUCCAGGAUGGCCAAGGUUUUGCCUCUACAGGAACCUACUCUGUUCCCUGAGAUUCUCCACCUUUCUUUGCAGGUUCAUUUUUGAGGCGGUGGGCUUCAUUGUGAGCAGCGUGGGACUUCUCCUGGGCAUAGCUUUGGUGAUGAGAGUGGAUGGUGCUGUGAGCUCCUGGUUCAGGCAGCUAUUUCUGGCCCAGCAGAGGUAGCCUAGGCUGUGAUUACUGGCACUUGGCUACAGAGAGUGCUGGAGAACAGUGUAGCCUGGCCGUACAGGUACUGGAUGAUCUGCAAGACAGGCUCAGCCCUACCUCUUACUACCAUGCAGCCAGGGGCCGCUGGCUUCCAGGACUUCAUCAUUCUAUAAUUCAGGACCACAGUGCAGUAGGAUCCCUAACUCCUGAGUUGGAUGCAUCUGAGGGACAAGGAGGGUGGUCUCCGAAGUGGAAUAAAAUAGGCCGGGCGUGGUGGCUUGCACCUAUAAUCCCAGCACUUUGGGAGGCAGAGGCGGGAGGAUUGCUUGGUCCCGGGAGUUCAAGACCAGCCUGUGGAACGUAACAAGACCCCGUCUCUACUAUUUAAAAAAAAGUGGAAUAAAAUGAUAAUAUAAU